CAGUCGCCACGGUAAUACGAAGGGGGCUAGCGUUGUUCGGAAUUACUGGGCGUAAAGCGCACGUAGGCGGAUAUUUAAGUCAGGGGUGAAAUCCCAGAGCUCAACUCUGGAACUGCCUUUGAUACUGGGUAUCUUGAGUAUGGAAGAGGUGAGUGGAAUUCCGAGUGUAGAGGUGAAAUUCGUAGAUAUUCGGAGGAACACCAGUGGCGAAGGCGGCUCACUGGUCCAUUACUGACGCUGAGGUGCGAAAGCGUGGGGAGCAAACAGGAUUAGAGACCCCGGUAGUCCCUGUCUCUUAUAC
rnacentral:rRNA from 1 species